UGGGCAAUGCGGACGUGUUCGUGUAUCAAGGCGUAGAAGAAAAGCGAGUGACUCUAGGAUAUACAUAUUCUUACAUAAACCAAGACAUAUCAAAGCAGGGAUUUUUUCGAAUGGUCAAUACGAACUCUUACAUCUGAACAGAGAGUGACUGAAUGGGCAAUAUGAAGCCGAAGCAAAACAGAGGCAAGUAAUACGACUUAUAUCAAAAUGGUAGUAUUAUUAGUUGCUUCGGAAGGUUUAGUACAUUUGUCUAUAUUAUAUGUAAUUGACAAUCACCGAGGGCAUCAUCCGCACAGUAUCAGACAUUGACCGUAAUUAUAUGACGUACGUACUAACUACGAAUAUUCAGCAAUUAAUUUUCCAAAACUAUGGCGUCACAUUAUAUAAGUCUAUUCUUAUCAAUUAUUACUUAUAUAAAUUGUGGGAAUACCA
rnacentral:lncRNA from 1 species